GUUGUUUCAUAAUUCAUGUCUUGAAUUUAUUUUUUAGUAUUCAGUCAGAUAAACUAACAUUGCCCCCUAUUCUCCUUGCUGCUGUGGAAAAAAAGAAAUAGACUUUAGUAUUCCAAAAAGGUCAAAACUAAAGGAGUAUGUUAAGGAUUUUUUUUUUGAUGUCAUGAAGCAACAGUACAGGUUAUUUCCAAGUACAAGUAACUUCUAUGAAAUAGCAAAUGAGCUUUUCCUAAGGUAUCCUUCUCUAAAACCUCGUCACUGCAAUGGCUCUGAACUUCUUGUGCAUUUGUUGAAGGCAAAAUUUAAGCGAGUUAGGCGUCCUCUUCUAAAUGAUGAGCAAGUUGCACAGUUUAAAAUAAAGUAGUCU
rnacentral:lncRNA from 1 species